rnacentral:lncRNA from 1 species
CAUAAAUAAAUAGCCUACAGAUAUGAGACAAUUCCGGAAUGGAAUUUCCCUUACAUGGAAAGUGAAUAAACUCUUACAUGGGAAGUGAAUAAACUACUCUUACAUGGAAAGUGAAUAAACUACUCUUACAUGGAAAGUGAAUAAACUACCUUGCUAGAAUUACUCCUAAAUCAAUUAUAAUAAAGGCUGUACAUUACACUAAUUAGGGAAGUAAACAGAGGAUGCUGGCUUGAUUUCCAACACUCCCCCUCAAGCCGCGUUGUAGAUGUUGAUCAUUCCAAGUUUUUCUGUCAGAUCUUCGAAGUUAACUCGAGCAAGAGCUUUUGUGAGAAUGUCAGCCGUUUGACAGUUUGUCGGAGUGUAGCUGACUUUGAAAACUCCUUCAAUCUUUUCCUUGAUAAAGUGUCGAUCUAUCUCCACGUGCUUAGUUCGAUCAUGAUGAACCGGAUUCUUAGCGAUACUGAUGGCAGCUUGAUUGUCGCAGUAUAACACCAUGGGAUGCUUCAAUGGAACCCGUAAUUCUUCUAAUAGCCUGUUCAACCAGAUUCCCUCGCAGAUACCUUGUGCCAUAGCACGAAAUUCUGCCUCAGCACUGCUACGGGCUACCACUGACUGUUUCUUGCUUCGCCAUGUAACCAAGUUCCCCCAGACAAAUGAACAAUAGCCUGAAGUUGAUCUCCGAUCAGUCACUGAACCUGCCCAAUCUGCAUCUGAAAAAAUCUCAAUCUCUUUCUUUGUUGUUCUUUAAAAGAAGAGACCCUUUCCCGGUGUCAUCUUGAGGUAUCUCAAUAUUCUGAUCACAGCAGUCAUGUGUUUUUCGGUUGGAUUAUUCAUGAAUUGACUUACCACACUAACGGAGAAGCCGAUGUCUGGCCUUGUAUGAGAAAGAUAGAUGAGUUUCCCCACAAGACGUUGAUAUCUUCCUUUAUCAACUGGCGCACUUCCAUCAUUUUCUUCCAGUUUGACAGUUGUAUCCAUAGGUGUUUCUGCCGGCUUGCAUCCUAGCAUUCCUGUUUCAUUCAAUAAGUCCAGAACGUAUUUGCGUUGUGAGACUGCUAUACCUUUCUUUGACCUAGCAAUCUCCAUUCCAAGAAAGUACUUGAGGUUUCCAAGAUCCUUGAUCUCAAAUUCCUUUGUCAGUAAUUUUUUAAGUAAGUCAAUUUUCUCUUCAUGAUCACCUGUCAAAAUUAUGUCGUCCACAUAUACAAUGAUAAUUGCCAGUUUCCCUUCUGGGAAGUGUUUCACAAAUAAUGUGUGAUCGGAUUGACAUUGAACGAAUCCGUACCCUUUCACUACCUUAGUGAACCGUUCAAACCAGGCCCUGGGAGAUUGUUUGAGACCAUACAAGGAUUUUCGGAGUCUCCAAACCUUGUUGAAAUUUGAUGUCGUCUCAAGUCCAGCAGGAAUGUCCAUGUAAACUUCUUCCUCUAAGUCACCAUUGAGGAAGGCAUUCUUCACAUCAAGUUGGUGAAGCGACCAAUCGAGAUUAGCUGCCAAGGAUAAAAUUACACGAACAGUAUUGAGCUUGGCAACUGGAGCAAAAGUUUCUUGAUAGUCAAUGCCAUAGGAUUGGGUGAAUCCUUUGGCGACCAACCGAGCCUUAUACCUGUCCACAUUACCAUCUGCCUUGUACUUUACUGUGAAAAUCCACUUACACCCAACUGGUUUCUUACCUCUUGGGAGGUCAGUAAUUUCCCACGUAUCAUUCUUUUCCAGCGCCCGAACUUCCUCAUUGACUGCCGCCUUCCACUUAGGAUACUUGAAAGCUUCCUGAAUAUUCUGAGGAACUUGUAUAUUUGUGAUGCUAGAAGUGAAUGCACGAAACGUAGGUGAUAGCUUAUCAUAAGAAAUAAAAUUUCCAAUGGGAUGCUGAGUGCAUGAUCUAACUCCUUUCCUCCAAGCUAUGGGCAUAUUAAGAAUAUCAUUUUCUAACUCGGAAUCAACAGUACCAUCAGGAGCGUUGUUACCUGGAAGUUUGCUUGGAUUAGGACCCGGUUCUGCCUCAUGGGUUUGUUGAGAAAGUACUCUUUCCUCCGUUUCCUCUUGGAUGUGCUCCUUAUCCCACAAGUCAACAAUGGACUCGGGUUGAUUAAAUGACUCUGGAGGAAUGUGAUUUUCUGUGGUGAUGGGUGACUCACUGAAUGACUCAAGAUCCCAAAAUUGAUAUUCCUGAGUUGAAUUCUCCCCCUGAAUAUCGUUUUUGGGAUAGUAAGGCUGGGUUUCAAAAAAGGUGACAUCCAUUGAAUUGUAGAAUUUUCUUGUGACCGGAGAGUAACACUUAUACCCUUUUUGAUUUGAAGAAUACCCAAGAAAGAUGCACUUGAGUGACCUAGGAUCAAGUUUACUUCUAUGUUGUUGAUUGAUAUGAACAAAGACAGAGCACCCGAAAAUUUUGGGUGGGACGGUGGAGAUGAGACGAGUAGUCGGAAAGGAUUUUAGGAGUGUUUGACAAGGUGUUUGGAAUUUUAGUACCCUAGACGGCAUCCUAUUGAUGAGGUAGGCUGCCGUAAGGACAGCUUGCCCCCAGAAUAAUUUUGGAACAUUCAUGGAGAACAUUAGUGAUCUAGCCACCUCUAACAAAUGCCUAUUUUUCCUUUCAGCGAUUCCGUUUUGUUGUGGGGUAUCAACACAUGAACUUAAGUGAACUAUCCCUUCUUGUGCUAGAAAUUCUCCUAGAAUGGAGUUGAAAUAAUCCCUAGCAUUAUCAGACUUUAGAAUUUGUAUUUUUGAUUGGAAUUGGGUCUGAAUCAUAUUUUUAAAAUUUUUGAAAAUUUGACUCGUUUCAGAUUUUUCUUUCAUGAGGAAUACCCAAGUUAAUCUAGUGUGAUCAUCUAUGAAUGAGACAAACCACCUAGUACCAGUUACAUUUUUUAUUCUUGACGGACCCCAGAUAUCGCUAUGAAUCAUUGAGAAUGGACUAGACUCUUUAUAGGGUUGAAUGGGAAAAUGAGACCGGACUUGCUUUGAUAAUUGACAGAUUUCACACUCAAAGGAUUUUGGAUUUUUAUUAAAUAAUGAAGGAAAUAAAUGCUUGAGAUACAUAACAUUUGGAUGACCUAAGCGAUAGUGCCACAACCUAAUUGCACUAUCGUUAUUUUGACAUGAAACCGAAAAAGAAUUACUACCAACUGUCAUUUGAGGUUGUUCUUGUGGAUCGUGGCGCUCCUUAAGGAUGUAGAGUCCAGAGCAUUCCUCAGCAUUGCCAAUCGUCUUCCCCGAAUCCAAAUCCUGAAAUUCACAGUGAGUGGAGGAAAAAUUAGUAAUACACCUCUUUUCCUUAGUGAGUUUACUAAUUGACAAUAGAUUACAGUCCAAGUUAGGAACAAGGAGAACAGAGUUGAGAGUAAGAUCCCUUGAUAGCACAACUGAACCUGUUCCGGCAACCUUUGAUAGUGAACCAUCUGCUAUUCGGACUGUUAAAUUAUUUGGACAUGAGCUAUAUGUAUCAAAAAUUGUCGCAUCUCCCGUCAUAUGAUCAGAUGCUCCUGAGUCCACUAUCCAAGGUUUUUUACGUUUCUUACCAGCAGUGAAGGCACUCAAAAAAUUACCUUUGUGAGCCAAGGUUCCGGAACCAAUUACCUGGUUGGAAGAUGAGCCAGUUUGUGACUGUAUUGACAAAAGAGGAGACAUGAGACAGGAUUAAACCUGCUCUGAUACCAUGAAGAAUUUGAAGAAAAAUAUGAAGAAUUUGAAGACAAAUUAUGGAGGAACACCUCAAUUCAUUCUGUGAUUUUUUUUUUUAAAGCAUAAAUAAAUAGCCUACAGAUAUGAGACAAUUCCGGAAUGGAAUUUCCCUUACAUGGAAAGUGAAUAAACUCUUACAUGGGAAGUGAAUAAACUACUCUUACAUGGAAAGUGAAUAAACUACUCUUACAUGGAAAGUGAAUAAACUACCUUGCUAGAAUUACUCCUAAAUCAAUUAUAAUAAAGGCUGUACAUUACACUAAUUAGGGAAGUAAACAGAGGAUGCUGGCUUGAUUUCCAACA